AUUGAACGCUGGCGGCAUGCUUUACACAUGCAAGUCGAACGGUAACAGGCCGCAAGGUGCUGACGAGUGGCGAACGGGUGAGUAAUGCAUCGGAACGUGCCCAGUCGUGGGGGGUAACGCAGCGAAAGCUGCGCUAAUACCGCAUACGAACUAUGGAUGAAAGCGGGGGACCGUAAGGCCCCGCGCGAUUGGAGCGGCCGAUGGCAGAUUAGGUAGUUGGUGGGGUAAAGGCUCACCAAGCCAACGAUCUGUAGCUGGUCUGAGAGGACGACCAGCCACACUGGGACUGAGACACGGCCCAGACUCCUACGGGAGGCAGCAGUGGGGAAUUUUGGACAAUGGGCGCAAGCCUGAUCCAGCAAUGCCGCGUGCAGGAAGAAGGCCUUCGGGUUGUAAACUGCUUUUGUACGGAACGAAACGGUCCUGGUUAAUACCCGGGGCUAAUGACGGUACCGUAAGAAUAAGCACCGGCUAACUACGUGCCAGCCGCCGCUGUAACAC
rnacentral:rRNA from 1 species